UACGAAGGGGGCGAGCGUUGUUCGGAUUUACUGGGCGUAAAGGGCGCGCAGGCGGCCAUUCAAGUCAGGCGUGAAAGCCCCGGGCUUAACCUGGGAGGUGCGUCUGGGACUGGGUGGCUAGAGAUCGGGAGAGGAGAGUGGAAUUCCCAGUGUAGAGGUGAAAUUCGUAGAUAUUGGGAAGAACACCGGUGGCGAAGGCGGCCUUCUGGACAGUGACUGGCGCUGAGACGCGAAAGCGUGGGGAGCAAACAGG
rnacentral:rRNA from 1 species